rnacentral:lncRNA from 1 species
UGGAAAUGUAAAUGAGCUAAAUACCUAAUAAAAAAUGGAAAGAAAAAAAAAAGUAUUGUGUGGUAUGGUGCGGUGUGGCUGGAACACUCCUUCUCCUGUCCACCAACUAUGUGUGAUGUGUAAAGUUUGUAUGAACAGGGGUUGGAACAUGGCUCCAUCCAUCCAUCAAUUGUGUGUAUUUGUGUAUGUAUGUGCAGAAUACUUGGAGCCUGUUUGCUGGAGCCUUGCUCUCACCAUUCUAUGUGAAUUCUACAGCAGCCCCUGUAGGUCCACCCUGGAUCUACCCUGGACACUGGGUCUGAGUCCUGGCCCUGGAUCCACAUUGGUCACUGGGUCUAAGCACUGGCCCUGGACCCACCCUGGACACUGGGUCUAAGCACUGGCCCUGGAUCCACCCUGGUCACUGGGUCUAAGCUCUGGCCUGCAACGGCUGCCUGCCUUGGUUUCCCCACCUCAUGGAGGCCACAGUGGGCGUUCGGGAGGCUGUGGGUCUCCAUUUCUCCUUUAUUCAAUAGUCUGUGUGUCUCUGCUUUUCAGCAUGGUGCGCCCCAAACAGCCUACAUUUCUCUUUCCUUGAAGGGAGUGAGUCUAUUUCUCUGAGUCUGUUUUAAAUCAGUACACAAAGUCAGUACACAGGGUACUGACAUUAUUUUCAUGCAUAUUCAGUUUGAGUUUAUUCUCACUAUCCCCUAGACCUCUCCCACACCCCUGCCCUCAGUCUGCCGCACCUUCGACCUGCGGUGUUUAUCUUUCCAUUUUAAUACUAUGCCUUCCAUUACCCUCCCACCCUCUCCCUGAAGCCUCCUUUCCUGGUCUCAUGGGCCCAUUUUUAGAUACUUGACCUGUAUCCACACUCCUCACUCCUACAUAAACGCACACACAUAAA